rnacentral:rRNA from 1 species
GGAGGGGGCUAGCGUUGUUCGGAAUUACUGGGCGUAAAGCGGGUGUAGGCGGAUCGUUAAGUCGGGGGUGAAAGCCCAGGGCUCAACCCUGGAACUGCCUUCGAUACUGGCGAUCUCGAGUGUGGGAGAGGUGAGCGGAAUUCCGAGUGUAGAGGUGAAAUUCGUAGAUAUUCGGAGGAACACCACAGGCGAAGGCGGCUCACUGGACCAUUACUGACGCUGAGACCCGAAAGCGUGGGGAGCAAACAGGAUUAGAUACCCUGGUAGUCCACGCCGUAAACUAUGAGAGCUAGUUGUCGGUGAGCAUGCUCAUCGGUGACGCAGCUAACGCAUUAAGCUCUCCGCCUGGGGAGUACGGCCGCAAGGUUA